ensembl:lncRNA
CCCCCCUCUGUCCAUUCAGUGCUUCCAUCCCUCCCUAUCUAAGCAGUGUAACGCUGGGCUCUCUGACAGGAGCAAGCUCGAGCCAAGCAAGAGAUUCUACUACACUGCAGAGAAGACUUCAAACUUUUGCCCAAGGAAUAUUACUUCAGUCUGCUUGUUCCUCUAUUUCUAUGGAUGACAGGUAGCAGCUGCCACACUUCAGUCUUUGUUUUUGUUUCAUUCGACUGGAAACAUAUUGGAGUGUUACUGGAAAUCUAUACAAACAUUAGGGCUUCAGGAGUGAAUGCAUGUUCAUCCUCUUUUUCCUCACUUCAUGUGAGGAAAAGAACUGAAGGAAUCUGUGGCGUCAAGCUGUAUUGGAUCGAGCUUGUUCGGAGAGUGUUUUAUUCUAAACACGGGGAAAUGGACUGACUCACUGAACUCCUCUGGAUGUUGGAGUUUGAAAAGCACUCUCAUGAGAUUUUAGUCCUGCAUAAAUAACAUUCCUUUGACUCAUCAAGACACACAUUUCCAGACUAUUUGUUUGUUUUCCAUAUUUGCUUUUUCUUUUGAACACUUUUGUUUCUAGGAGCUGUGGACUGAUUGUUUAUUGCCAUAAGAGGUGGUGGAUUUCUUGAGCUGGCUCUUCCUUUCUCUCUCUCUCUCCUCUCUCCCUCUCUCUCUCUUUGAGAGUCUGGCAGGUCUCCUUCAGCAGAAUACCUGACAUUGUGGCUGUGUGUAAAGGAGGUAGAAUCCCCAAGAUUGAACCUAUCCACACUCCAGAAAUUUGUGUUUGAAACCUUUAAGAAGACAAGCUCUUAAUUUGACCCCACAACCAGGAUUUUCUAAGACCAGGAGCGCCAGGAGUUAGGAUGGAGAUUCUGGGCUUCUCCCUCCACCAGCAGAGCCUCUGGAGCUGUGGCGACGGUCUUCAGCAGAUGCACAGAUGCAGCAACAGAAGCUCGCUGGUCCUCAGGGCUGAUUCAGACCAGUGACUUGGACUGCUUGAUUACGGAGCGGAAUUUAGAGUUGCUACUGUUCUCUACGCUUGCCUUGCGGAGGACGGAGGAGCAACUGCCAUACUGAUCCCAUGCAGUUCUCACCUGGAGGUCAGGCAAAGAGUUAGACACGCAGACAAGUCUGGAUAAGCCGGCAAACGUGUCAAUGCUCCAACUCAUUCUAAGAUGAAGUUAUGGAAGUGUGCCGCCAUCGCUUUGACACUCUUUGGUGCAGCACUGUCCCUCUUCCUCACUAGAAACAUGGUUCCCACAUCUCUGCGUCACCUCCCCUCCUGGGACACGUCACCGUUGCGGACGCCCUCGUCCUCCAACUCCUCCUCUUCGGCGCUGAUCGGACAUCCUCGCAAAGUACGGUCAACAGAAGGCAUCCGCGACAUUUUGACAGAAU